rnacentral:rRNA from 1 species
AGCGGCGGAUGGGUGAGUAACACGUGGGGAACCUGCCCCUAAGUCUGGGAUACCAUUUGGAAACAGGUGCUAAUACCGGAUAAUAAAGCAGAUCGCAUGAUCAGCUUUUGAAAGGCGGCGUAAGCUGUCGCUAAGGGAUGGCCCCGCGGUGCAUUAGCUAGUUGGUAAGGUAACGGCUUACCAAGGCGACGAUGCAUAGCCGAGUUGAGAGACUGAUCGGCCACAUUGGGACUGAGACACGGCCCAAACUCCUACGGGAGGCGGCAGUAGGGAAUCUUCCACAAUGGACGCAAGUCUGAUGGAGCAACGCCGCGUGAGUGAAGUAGGUUUUCGGAUCGUAAAGCUCUGUUGUUGGUGAAGAAGGAUAGAGGUAGUAACUGGCCUUUAUUUGACGGUAAUCAACCAGAAAGUCACGGCUAACUACGUGCCAGCAGCCGCGGUAAUACGUAGGUGGCAAGCGUUGUCCGGAUUUAUUGGGCGUAAAGCGAGCGCAGGCGGAAAAAUAAGUCUAAUGUGAAAGCCCUCGGCUUAACCGAGGAACUGCAUCGGAAACUGUUUUUCUUGAGUGCAGAAGAGGAGAGUGGAACUCCAUGUGUAGCGGUGGAAUGCGUAGAUAUAUGGAAGAACACCAGUGGCGAACGCGGCUCUCUGGUCUGCAACUGACGCUGAGGCUCGAAAGCAUGGGUAGCGAACAGGAUUAGAUA